GAUGAACGCUGGCGGCGUGCCUAAUACAUGCAAGUCGAGCGAACGGACGAGAAGCUUGCUUUUCUGAUGUUAGCGGCGGACGGGUGAGUAACACGUGGAUAACCUACCUAUAAGACUGGGAUAACUUCGGGAAACCGGAGCUAAUACCGGAUAAUAUUUUGAACCGCAUGGUUCAAAAGGGAAAGACGGUCUUGCUGUCACUUAUAGAUGGAUCCGCGCUGCAUUAGCUAGUUGGUAAGGUAACGGCUUACCAAGGCAACGAUGCAUAGCCGACCUGAGAGGGUGAUCGGCCACACUGGAACUGAGACACGGUCCAGACUCCUACGGGAGGCAGCAGUAGGGAAUCUUCCGCAAUGGGCGAAAGCCUGACGGAGCAACGCCGCGUGAGUGAUGAAGGUCUUCGGAUCGUCAAACUCUGUUAUUAGGGAAGAACAUAUGUGUAAGUAACUGUGCACAUCUUGCCGGUACCUAAUCAGAAAGCCACGGCUAACUACGUG
rnacentral:rRNA from 1 species